GAGUGUCCCGUUGGGGGCUGCCAGGUUUACUUUGAAAAAAUUAGAGUGCUCCAAGCAGGCUCGACACGCCUGAAUAUUCGUGCAUGGAAUAAUGGAAUAGGACGUCGUUCCUAUUUUGUUGGUUUUCGGGAAUCGACGUAAUGAUUAAUAGGGACAGCCGGGGGCAUUAGUAUUCAGACGACAGAGGUGAAAUUCUUGGACCGUCUGGCGACUCACUGCUGCGAAAGCGUUUGCCAAGUAUGUUUUCAUUGAUCAAGAACGAAAGUUAGAGGUUCGAAGGCGAUCAGAUACCGCCCUAGUUCUAACCAUAAACGAUGCCAGCUAGCGAUCCGCAGACGUUUUUAUUGUAGGCUCUGCGGGAAGCUUCCGGGAAACCAAAGCGUUUGGGUUCCGGGGGAAGUAUGGUUGCAAAGCUGAAACUUAAAGAAAUUGACGGAAGGGCACCACCAGGCGUGGAACUUGCGGCUUAAUCUGACUCAACACUGGAAAUCUCACCAGGCCCGGACACCGGAAGGAUUGACAGAUUGAGAGCUCUUUCUCGAUUCGGUGGGUGGUGGUGCAUG
rnacentral:rRNA from 1 species